rnacentral:sRNA from 1 species
AUGUACCACGCGCACACUCCGGUUCCUGCGCGCCGUCCGCACCCACCUGAGGACUGCUCGCUACGUUUUGUUAGCC